GACGAACGCUGGCGGCGUGCCUAAUACAUGCAAGUAGAACGCAGUUGCGAACGGGUGAGUAACGCGUAGGUAACCCCCUCAUUGCGGGGGGUAACUAAUUGAAACGCGAGUUAAUACCGCAUACUGUGAGAUGGACCUGCGUUGUAUUAGCUAGUUGGUGAGGUAAAGGGUCACCAAGGCGACGAUACAUAGCCGGCCUGAGAGGGUGAACGGCCACACUGGGACUGAGACACGGCCCAGACUCCUACGGGAGGCAGCAGUAGGGAAUCUUCGGCAAUGGACGGAAGUCUGACCGAGCAACGCCGCGUGAGUGAUGAAGGUUUUCGGGUCGUAAAGCUCUGUUGUUAGGGAAGCGGUACCGGAACAGAAAGGGACGGCUAACUACGUGCCAGCAGCCGCGGUAAUAC
rnacentral:rRNA from 1 species